rnacentral:tRNA from 1 species
UUCAGUGGUAGAACACCACCUUGCCAAGGUGGGGGUCGCGGGUUCGAAUCCCGUCUUCCGCU